AAAGGAAUUGACGGGGGCCCGCACAAGCGGUGGAGCAUGUGGUUUAAUUCGAUGCAACGCGAAGAACCUUACCAGGGUUUGACAUCCCUUGUCAGCUGUAGAGAUACAGUGUCUCUUUUAGAGCAAGGAGACAGGUGGUGCAUGGUUGUCGUCAGCUCGUGUCGUGAGAUGUUGGGUUAAGUCCCGCAACGAGCGCAACCCCUAUCUUUAGUUGCCAUCAUUAAGUUGGGCACUUUAAAGAGACUGCCGGCUAAAAGUCGGAGGAAGGUGGGGAUGACGUCAAAUCAUCAUGCCCCUUAUGUCCUGGGCUACACACGUGCUACAAUGGCCUGUACAGAGGGCAGCGAAGUGGUGACAUGGAGCCAAUCUCAGAAAACAGGUCUCAGUUCGGAUUGUAGGCUGCAACUCGCCUACAUGAAGUCGGAAUCGCUAGUAAUCGCAGGUCAGCAUACUGCGGUGAAUACGUUCCCGGGCCUUGUACACACCGCCCGU
rnacentral:rRNA from 1 species